rnacentral:rRNA from 1 species
AGCAGCCGCGGUAAUUCCAGCUCCAAUAGCGUAUAUUAAAGUUGUUGCAGUUAAAAAGCUCGUAGUUGAAUUUCGGGAUCAAUAUGUCGGUCGUGCCUUCGGUACGUACUGGCAUCAUUGGUUUCUCCCUUCUGACGAAACAUGAUGUCAUUAAUUUGGUGUCGUGGAGAAUCAGGACUGUUACCUUGAAAAAAUUAGAGUGUUUAUAGCAGGCUAACGCUUGAAUACAUUAGCAUGGAAUAAUGAAAUAGGACGUUCGACCCUAUUUUGUUGGUUUCUAGGAUCGACGUAAUGAUUAAUAGGGGAUAGUUGGGGGCAUUAGUAUUCAAUUGUCAGGGGUGAAAUUCUUGGAUUUAUUGAAGACUAACUACUGCGAAAGCAUUUGCCAAGGUAUGUUUUCAUUAAUCAAGAACGAAAGUUAGGGGAUCGAAGACGAUCAGAUACCGUCGUAGUCUUAACCAUAAACUAUGCCGACUAGGGAUCGGAUGAUGUUAAUUUUUAAUGACUCAUUCGGCGCCUU